GCUGGGUGCAGUGGCGUAUGCCUGUAAUCCCAGUGGCUCAGGAGGCUGAGACAGGAAGAUCAUAAGUUCAAAGCCAGCCUCCGUAAAAGCGAGGCCCCAAGCAACUCAGUGAGACCCUGUCUCUA
rnacentral:sRNA from 1 species